CCUACGGGUGGCAGCAGUGAGGAAUAUUGGUCAAUGGACGAGAGCCUGAACCAGCCAAGUCGCGUGAAGGAUGACUGCCCUCUGGGUUGUAAACUUCUUUUAUAUGGGAAUAAAAUGUUCCACGUGUGGGAUUUUGUAUGUACCAUAUGAAUAAGGAUCGGCUAACUCCGUGCCAGCAGCCGCGGUAAUACGGAGGAUCCGAGCGUUAUCCGGAUUUAUUGGGUUUAAAGGGCGCGUAGGUGGGUUGUUAAGUCAGUUGUGAAAGUUUGCGGCUCAACCGUAAAAUUGCAGUUGAAACUGGAGGUCUUGAGUGCAGUAGAGGUGGGCGGAAUGCGUGGUGUAGCGGUGAAAUGCAUAGAUAUCACGAAGAACUCCGAUUGCGAAGGCAGCUGACUGGACUGCAACUGACACUGAGGCACGAAAGUGUGGGUAUCAAACAGGAUUAGAUACCCCAGUAGUC
rnacentral:rRNA from 1 species